rnacentral:rRNA from 1 species
UACGGAGGGUGCAAGCGUUAUCCGGAUUCACUGGGUUUAAAGGGUGCGUAGGUGGGCAGGUAAGUCAGUGGUGAAAUCUUUGGGCUUAACCCGAAAACUGCCAUUGAUACUAUUUGUCUUGAAUAUUGUGGAGGUCAGCGGAAUAUGUCAUGUAGCGGUGAAAUGCUUAGAUAUGACAUAGAACACCAAUUGCGUAGGCAGCUUACUACGGAACUAUUGACACUGAGGCUCGAAAGCGUGGGGAUCAAACAGG